rnacentral:rRNA from 1 species
AUUGAACGCUGGCGGCAGGCCUAACACAUGCAAGUCGAGCGGAUGAGGGGAGCUUGCUCCUGGAUUCAGCGGCGGACGGGUGAGUAAUGCCUAGGAAUCUGCCUGGUAGUGGGGGAUAACGUCCGGAAACGGGCGCUAAUACCGCAUACGUCCUGAUGGAGAAAGUGGGGGAGCUUCGGACCGCACGCUAUCAGAUGAGCCUAGGUCGGAUUAGCUAGUUGGUGGGGUGCAGGCCUACCGAGGCGACGUUCCGUAACUGGGCUGAGAGGGUGAUCAGUCACGCUAGGACUGAGAGACGGUCCAGACUCCUACGGGAGGCCGCAGUGGUGCAGGUUGGACAAUGGGGGAAUGCCUGAUCCAGCCAUGCAGCGUGUGUGAAGAAGGUCUUCGGAUUGUAAAGCACUUUCAGUUGGGAGGAAGGGCAGUACGUUAAUACCUUGCUGUUUUGACGUUAGCAACAGAAUAAGCACCGGCUAACUUCG